UCAAAAACUUAGUCUCAGUUCGGAUUGUAGGCUGAAACUCGCCUACAUGAAGCUGGAGUUGCUAGUAAUCGCGAAUCAGCAUGUCGCGGUGAAUACGUUCCCGGGCCUUGUACACACCGCCCGUCACACCAUGAGAGUUGGCAAUACCCAACGUACGUGAUCUAACCCGCAAGGGAGGAAGCGUCCUAAGGUAGGGUCAGCGAUUGGGGUGAAGUCGUAACAAGGUACC
rnacentral:rRNA from 1 species